AGAUGAUUUAGGUGGUGAUAUUAACAAAUGAGAAAAAUGAACUCCGUUUAAAAAGCUCUCCUGAGAUUACCUGAGAUAUCUUCUAUGAAACAAGGUGGUGUGUUCUUGCCCAGGAUUCCUGCUGACAACUUUGGCAGAGGACGUCAUGCCAAGGCUGAACUGAGAGCAGGGCUGGCUUUGGGGUACGGCAUCAAAGUGCCAUCUUGGAAGGACAGAGCAGCCCUCACCGACACCAAACAUGCUAGCAUCUUGAUUUUGGACUUCCCAGCCUCCAGGACUCAACUUGGAUGGAACAGGAAACCAUUAUUCUAAAUGAAGUAACUCAAGAAUCGAAAACCAAAUACUGCAUGUUCUCACUUAUAUGUGGAAGCUAAGCUAUGACUCAUCAUUUGGGAGAAAUGGGAGCCACCAAGACUCAUACAAGAACCCACCUAAGGCCAGGCAUGAUGGCUCAUGCCUGUAAUCCUAGCACUUUGGGAGGCUGAGGCAGGUGGAUCACCUGAGGUCAGGAGUUCAAGACCAGCCUGGCCAACAUGGUGAAACCCCAUCUCUACUAAAAAUACAAAAAUCAGCCAGGCAUGGUGGCGCACACCUGUAAUUCCAGCUACUUGAGGCGCUGAGGCAGGAGAAUCGCUUGAACCUGGCGGGUGGAGCCAUGGCUCGUGGUCCCAAGAGGCAUCUGAAGCAGGUAGCAGCUCCAAAGCAUUGGAUGCUGGAUAAACUGACUGUUCCUUGUCCAUCCACCAGUCCCCACAAGUUGAGAGACCGUCUCCCUCUCAUCAUUUUCCUAAGGAACAGACUUAAGUAUGCCCUGACAGGAGAGGAAGUCAAGAAGAUUUGCAUGCAGCUUUUCAUUAAGAUCGGUGGCAUGGUCUGAACUGAUAUAACCUACGGUACUGUAUUCAUGGAUGUCAUCAGCAUUGACAAGAUGGGAGAGAAUUUCUGUCUGAUCUAUAACAACAAGGGUCACUUUGCUGUACAUCAUAUUAUACCUGAGGAGACCAAGUACAAGUUGUGCAAAGUGAGAAAAAUCUUUGUGGGCACAAAAGGAAUCCCUCGUCUGGUGACAUGAUGCUCACACCACCUGCUACCCUGAUCCCCUCUUCAAGGUGAAUGAUACCAUUCAGAUCAGUUUGGAGACUGGCAAGAUUACUGAUUUCAUCAAGUUCGACACUGGUAACCUGUGUAUGGUGACUGGAGGUGCUAACCUGGGAAGAAUUGGUGUGAUUACCAACAGAGAGAGGCACCCUGGAUCUUUUGACAUGAUUCACAUCCAAGAUGCCAAUGGCAAUAGCUUCGCCACUCGACUUUCCAACAUCUUUGUUAUUUGCAAGGGCAAUAAACCAUGGUUUUCUCUUCCUCGAGGAAAGGGUAUUUGCCUCACCAUUGCUAAAGAGAGACAAGAGAUUGGCAGCCAAACAGAGCAGUGGGUGAAAUGGUCCCUGGGUGGCAUGUUAGAUUUUUGUACGUCAUUAAAAAUAAUGUGGCAUGAUUGAUAGCCAAAAAGAAAAUAAAACAAUUUUUUUUUUGGUAGAGACAGUGUCUUACUAAGUUUCCCAGGCUGUUCUCAAACUCAAGUGGCUCUCCUGCACUGGCCCCAAAGUGCUGGGAUUAUAGGCGAGUUACCAUGCCUGGCUCCUUGUGGAUUUUCUGUCUAGUAGUUCUAUCAAUUAAUGAGAGAAGAGUGUUAAAGUCUCCAACUAUAAUAGUAGAUUUGUCAGUUUCUUCCCUUGGCUUUUUCAGUUUUUGCUUCAUGGUUUUGGAAGAUCUGUUUUUGGUGCAUACACACUUAGGUUUGCUCUCUCUUGUUGGUGGAUUGAACUUGAUCUAUUAUCAUCAUGUAAAGUUCCUCUCCAUGACUGAUAAUUUCCUUGCUCUGAAGUCUACUUUGAUUUCAUAUAGCCAUUCUUCCUUUUUGAAAUAUAAUACAUACAUGAUAUAUCUUUUUCAAUGCUUUUACUUUUUACUUAGCUAUAUCAUUAUGUUUGAUUUGAGUUUUUUAUAGACAGCCUAUCAUUGGGUAAUGUUUUUAAAUCUACUCAGCCAAUAUUAUCUUAUUUUCAAUAAAAUUUUUUACACAUAAUUAUAUGUAUUUAUGGAGUAAAAUGUGAUGUUCUGAUACAUAAAUACACUGUGUAAUGAUCAAAUCAGGCAUAUCUAACUACCUCAAACAUUAAUUUUUUCUGUUACAGGCACAUACAAAAUCCUCUUUUCUAGCUAUUUUGAGACACUCUACUGUAUAGUAGGACACCAGAACUUAUUCUUCCUUUCUAAUUGUAACUUUGUACCUAUUGCAAUUCUGUCUUUUAAUUAAUGUAUUUAGUCCAUUUACAUUUAAAGUAAUUAUUGAUAUGUUAGAGUUUAAAUUGUUUACUGUUUGUUCCCUGUUUCUUGUUACCUGGUUAUCUUUCUUCUGCCUUCUUGUGGGUUACUUAAAUAUUUUUUAGAGUUCCGCUUUAAUUUAUUUAUAAUUUUUUCUAGUAUGCCACUUUGUAUAGUUUUUGUAGGGGUUGUUUUAGCUACUAUUCUAUUCAUAUGUAAGUUAUCACAGCCUAUGUCAGUGUCUUACCAUUUCUAUGGAAGGGCAGAAAGCUUACUUCCUUUUAAUUCCUUUAUCCUCUACACCUACAAAAAUAUAAUUGUCCUAAGUAUAACCUCUACAUACCUAUCAGAAAAUGUAUAAUUUUUGCUUUAACCAUAAAUAUGAUUAAAGAACUAAUGAAAUGAAGGGUAGGAUGUUACAUUUACUUCUAUUUUUACUGAAAUGGAAUAAUGCCUUUUAUUAUCAUUGUCUUUCUGUUUUGAGGGAUUAAUUUAGUCAUUCUUUAAGGGUAGAUGUGCUAUCAAUACAGUCUUAGUUUCUUUAUGCCUGAGACUCUUUUCCCCUUACAUUCCGGAAGAAUAGUUUCACCAUCUAUGUAAGAUUUGUGAUUGGCAGGUCUUUCUCUCAGCACUUGGAAGAUGUGCCACUUCCUUCUGGACUCCGUGGUUUCUGAUGAGAAAGCUGUUCUUCACAUUGAUGUUCCUUUACAGGCCAUCUGUUGUUUCUGUCCAGCUGUGACCUUUGUCUUCAGUUUUCAGAAAUUUAAUUAUGAUGUGUUUUGGUAUAGUUUACGCUGGGUAAAUUAUUUUAUUUGGAGUCUGCUGAACUCCUUGGAUCUGCAAUUUUAUGUCUUUUGCCAAAUUACAUUUUUUUUUUCUAUUGAGAUGGAGUCUCACUCUGUUGCCCAGGCUGUAGUGCAGUGGCUCAGUGGUGUGAUCUUGGCUCACUUCAACCUCUGCCUCCCGGGUUCAAGUGAUUGCCCUGCCUCAGUCCCAAGUAGCGGGACUACAGGUGCACUGGAUGGGUGGCUGGUUGCCAGGGGACCCGCUGGGACUACGCCUGGCUAAUUUUCAUAUUUUUAGUAGAGAUGGGGUUUCAUUAUGUUGUCCAGGCUGAUCUUGGACUCCUGAACUCAGGUGAUCCGCCUGCCUUAACCUCCCAAAGUGCUGGGAUUACAGGUGUGAGCCACUGCGGUUGGCUGAAAUUAUCUCUUUCUUUUUUUUUGUUUUGUUUUCCGAGACAGGGUCUCACUUUGCCACCCAGGCUGGAGUGCAGUGGUGUGAUCUUGGCUCACUGCAGCCUUGACCUACUAGUUUCUAGCAAUCCUCCUGCCUCAGCCCCCCAAGUAGCUGGAACUACAUGUGCACACCUCAAUGCCAGGUGAAUUUUUCUUUAGAGAUGGGGUUUUGCCAUAUUGCCCAGUCUGGUCUUGAACUCCUGGCCUCAAGUGAUCGGCCAGCAUUGACCUCCCAUCGUGCUGGGAUUAUAGGCGUGAGUCAUUGUACUUGGCCUAUGGGAAAUUUUCAGCAUUAUUUCUUUGCAUACUUUUUCCGUCCAUGCUCUUUCUCCCUUUUUUUCUGGACUUUAAUGAUAUGAACAUUGGAUCUUUUGUGAUUGUCUCAGAGAUAUCUGAGGCUCUGUUCUUUGUUUUUCAGUCUAUUUUCUCUUCAUUGUUCAGAUUGUGUAUAUGCUACUGACUUAUCCUCAAGUUCACAGAUUCUAUUCCUGUCAUCUCCACUCUACUAUUGAACCCAUUCAGUGAGUUUUUCAUUUCGAUUCUAGUAUUUCUAAGUUCUAGAAUUGCUAUUUGGUUUUAUAUUUUGCUGAGAUUUUCUAUGUUUUUAUUUGUUUUCAGGUGUAAUAUUAUUGAAUAUAUAUUUUGAUUUUUGUCCACAAUUUCUGGCUCAUAACCCUUGUAAUUUCCUGAGUGGCUAGAGCAAUAGGAGAAUCUUUUGUUAAAACAUUUGACCUUUUAUCCUUGGAUCUGAAACAGUUUUAGAAUAGCUCCAGAGUUGUAAGGUGAACAUGUCUUUUGUUAUUUAUAACAAUCCCUUUUGACCACACUUGAGUUUGUUAAUGAGGUGGCUUUUGGAGAGUCCCUAGAUAACCACUGGGUGGGUGGCUGGUUGCCAAGGGACCCAACCUUGUGAUUAACGGGUAGGAACUCACAGCCCAUCCUCGACCUUGGGGGACAGGAGAGGGCCUGAAGUUUAAAUUGAUCCCAGUGGCCAAUGAUUUAAUCAUGCCUACAUUAUGAAACCUCCAUAGAACUCAGACAGACAGGGUUUGGAGAGCUUACAGAAGCUGAACACGGAAGUUCCUGGAGAGUGGCAAGCCAGGAGAGGACAUGGAAGCUACACAUCCCUUCUACCUGGCUGUCCAUCUGGAUCCUUUGUAAAAUCCUCUAUACUAAGUGGGGAAAUGUAAGUAUUUACUCGAGUUCUGUGAGCCACUCUAGCAAAUUAAUCAAACCCCAGAUGGAGAUCAUGGGAAUCUGUGACUUAGAGCCAAUUGGUCAGAAGUGUAAGGUACAAUUAAUACUAUUAAUACUUGUGACUGGCAUGUGAAAUGUGGGGGGCAGUCCCGUGGGAUUGAGCCCUCAGUCUGAAACCAUCCUUACAGGGUUAACAAGAAUUACAUGCUUGGUUCUGGAUAGAAAUAUAGUUAUAAUUAAGAUGUUUCUGGGGUCAUGGGCAAGAUGACCAAAUAGGAACAUCUCCAGUCUGCAGCUCCCAGCAAGAUCAAUGCAGAAGGUGGUUUAUUUCUGCAUUUCCAACUGAGGUACCUGGCUUAUCUCAUUGGAACUGUUUAGACAGUGGAUGCAGCCCACGAAGGGCAAGCUGAAGCAGGGUGGGGUGUUGCCUAACCGAGGAAGUGAAAGGGGUUGGGGAACUCUGUUCCCUAGCCAAGGGAAGCUGUGAGGGACUGUGCCAUGAGGAAUGGUACAUUCUGGCCCCGAUACUACACUUUUCCCAUGGUCUUCACAACUUGCAUAUCAGGAGAUUCCCUUCAGUGCCUAUGCCACCAGGUCUCUGGGUUUCAAGCACAAAAGUGGGCAGCCAUUUGGGCAGUCACUGAGCAGGAGCUUUUUUUCAUACCCCAGUGGCACCUGGAAUGCCAGCAAGACAGAACCGUUCACUCUCCUGGAAAGGGAACUGAAGCCAGAGAGCCAAGUGGAUCCCGCCCCCAUGGAGCCCAGCAAGCUCAGAUCCACUGGCUAGAAAUUCUUGCUGCCAGCACAGCAGUCUGAAGUUGGCCUGGGACACUCCAGUUUGGUGGACACAUCCACCCUAACUGAGGCUUGAGUAGGUGGUUUUCCCCUCACAGUGUAAACAAAGCCACCAGGAAGUUUGAACCAGGUGGAGCUCACCACAGCUUGGCAAAGCCACUGUAGCCAGACUGCCUCUCUAGAUCCCUCCUCUCUGGACAGGGCAUCUUUGAAAAAAAGGCAGCAGCCCCAGUCAGGGGUUUAUAGAUAAAACUCCCAUCUCCCUGGGACAGAGCAUCUUUGAAAAAAAGGCAGCAGCCCCAGUCAGGGGUUUAUAGAUAAAACUCCCAUCUCCCUGGGACAGAGCACCUGAGGGAAGGGGCAUUUGUGGGCAUAGCUUCAUCAGACUUAAAUGUUCCUGCCUGCCAACUCUGAAGAGAUCUCCCAGUGCAGCACUUGAGCUCUGCUAAGGGAGAGACUGCCUCCUCAAGUGGUUCCCUGACCUCUGUGCCUCCUGAUUGGGAGACACCUCCCAGCAUGGGUCAACAGACACCUCAUACCAGAGAGUUAUGGUUGGCAUCUGGCAGGUGCCCUUCUCGGAUGAAGCUUCCAGAGGAAGGAACAGGGAGCAAUCUUUGUUGUUCUACAGCCUCCCUUGGUGAUACAGGCAAACAGGUCUGGAAUGGACUUUCAGCAAACUCCAGCAGACCUCAGCAGAGGGACCUGACUGCUAGAAUGAAAACGAACAAACAGAAAGGAAUACCAUCAACAUCAACCAAAGGACAUCCACACAGAAACUUCAUUUGAAGGUCACCAACAUCAAAGACCAAAGGUAGAUAAAUCCACAAAGAAGAGGAAAAACCAGUGCAAAAGGCUGAAAAUUCCAAAAACCAGAAUGCCUCUUCUCCCUCAAAGGAUCACAACUCCUUGCCAGCAAGGGAACAAAACUGGACAGAGAAUGAAUUUGAUGAUUUGACAGAAGUAGAUUGCAGAAGGUGAGUAAUAACAAACUCUUCCGAGCUAAAGGACCAUGUUCUAACCCAAUGCAAGGAAGCUAAGAACCUUGAAAAAAGGCUAGAGAAAUUGCUAAUUAGAACAACCAGUUUAGAGAGGAAGAUAAAUGACUUGAUGGAGCUGAAAAACACGGCACAAGAACUUUCUGAAGCAUACACAAGUAUUAAUGGCUGAAUUAAUCAAGCAAAAGAAAGGAUAUCAGAGAUUUAAGAUCAACUUAAUGAAAUAAAGUCUGAAGACAAGAUUAGAGUAAAAAGAAUGAAAAGGAACAAACAAAGCCUCCAAGAAAUGUGGGGCUAUGUGAAAAGACCAAACAUACGUUUGAUUAGUGUAUCUGAAAAUGAUGGGGAGAAAGGAACCAAGUUGGAAAACUUCUUCAGGAUAUGAACCAGGAGAAUUUCCCCAACCUAGCAAGACAGGUCAACAUUCAAAUUGAGGAAAUGCAGAGAACAUCACAAAGAUACUCACUGAGAAGAGCAAGCCCAAGACACAUAAUUGUCAGAGUCACCAAGGUUGAAAUGAAAAAAAUGUUAAGGACAGCCAGAGAAAAAGGUUGUGUUGCUCACAAACAGAAGCUCAUGAUACUAACAGAGGAUCUCUCAGCAGAAACCCUACAAGCCAAAAGAGAGUGGGGAACAAUAUUCAACAUACUUAAAGAAAAGAAUUUUCAACCCAGAAUUUCAUAUCUGACCAAACUAAUAUUCAGAAGUGAAGGAGAAAUAAAAUCCUUUACAGACAAGCAAAUGCUAAGAGAUCUUGUCACCACUAGGCCUGCCUUACAAGAGCUCCUGAAGGAAGCACUAAAUAUGGAGGAAAAAAAUCAAAACCAAACAAACCAACAAAAACCCACAGGUACCAGCCACUGAAAAAACACACCAAAUUGUAAAGAUCAUUGACACUAUGAAGAAACUGCAUCAACUAACAGGCAACAUAACCAGCUGGCAUCAUAAUGACAGGACCAAAUUCACAUAUAACAACAUUAACCUUAAAUGUAAAUGGACUAGAUGCCCCAAUUAAAAGACCCGGACUGGCAAAUCAGAUAAAGAGUCAAGACCCACUGGUAUGCUGCAUUCUGGAGACCCAUCUCAUAUGCAAAGACAUAGACACUCAAAAUAAAGGAAUGGAGGAAUAUUUACCAAACAAAUGGAAAGCAAAAAUAGCAGGGGUUUCAGUCCUAACCUCUGAUAAAACAGAUUUUAAACCAACAAAGUUCAAAAAAGAUAAAGGGCAUUACAUAAUGGUAAAGAGAUCAAUACAAGAAGAACAACUAACUAUCCUAAAUAUAUAUGCACCCAAAACAGGAGCACCCAGAUUCAUAAAGCAAGUUCUUAGAGACCUACAAAGAAACUUAGACUCCCAUACAAUAAUAGUGGGAGACUUUAACACCCCACUGUCAAUAUUAGACAGAUCAGUGAGAGAAAACUAACAAGGAUAUUCAGGACUUGAAUUCAGCUCUGGACCAAGCGGACCAAAUGGACAUCUACAGAGCUCUCCACCCCAAAUCAACAGAAUAUACAUUCUUCUCAGCACUACAUUGCACUUAUUCUUAAAUUGACCACAUAAUUGGAAGUAAAACACUCCUCAGCAAAUGCAAAAGAAUAGAAAUCAUAACAGUCUCUCAGACCAAAGUGCAAUCAAAUUAGAACUCAGGAUUAAGAAACUCACUCAAAACUGCACACCUACAUGGAAACUGAACAACUUUCUCCUCAAAGACUACUAUUCUGAAAAAUUUUGAAUAAUGAAAUUAAGGUAGAAAUAAGUUCUUUGAAACCAAUGAGAACAGAGAUACAAUGUACCGGAAUCUCUGAAACACAGAGAAAGCAGCGUUUAGAGGGAAAUUUAUAGCACCAAAUGCCCACAGGAAAAAUCAGGAAAGAUCUAAAAUCGACACCCUAAUAUCAGAGUGAAAAGAACUAGAGAAGCCAGAGCAAACAAAUUCCAAAGCUAGCAGAAGACAAGAAAUAACUAAGAUCAGAGCAGAACUGAAGGAGACAGAGACACAAAAACCCCUUCAAAAUAAAAAUCAAUGAAUCCAGGAACUGAUUUUUGAAAAGAUUAACAAAAUAGAGACUGCUCGUCAGAAUAAUAAAAAAGAAGAGAGAAGAAUCAAAGAGACACAAUAAAAAAUGAUAAAGGGGAUAUCACCACUGACCCCACAGAAAUAUAAACUACCAUUGGAGAAUACUAUAAACACCUCUAUGCAAAUAAACUAGAAAAUCUAGAAAAAAUGGAUAAAUUCCUGGACAUAUACACCCCCACAAGACUAAAUCAAGGAGUCGAAUCCCUGAACAGACCAAUAACAAGUUCUGAAAUUGAGGCAGUAAUUAAUAGCCUACCAACCAAAAAAAGUCCAGGACCAGAUGAAUUCACAGCCAAAGUCUACCAGAGAUACAAAGAGGAGCUGGUACCAUUCCCUCUGAAACUAUUCCAAAUAAUAGAACAAGAGGGCCUCCUCUCUAACUCAUUUUAUGAGGCCAGCAUCAUCCUGAUACCAAAACCUGGCAGAGACACAACAACAAAAAAUUUCAGGCCAAUAUCCUUGAUGAAAUAAAUGUGAAAAUCCUCAUAUGCAAAUGAAUAAACAUAAUCCAUCACAUAAACAAAACCAAUGAAGAUUGACCUUUGAUAAAAUUUAAUACCCUUUCAUGCUACAAACUCUCAAUAAACUAGGUAUUGAUGGAACAUAUCUCAAAAUAAUAAUAGCUAUUUAUGACAAACCCACAGCCAAUAUUAUACUGAAUGGACAAAAGCUGGAAGCAUUCCCUUUGAAAACCAGUACUAGACAAGGAUGCCCUUCUCACCACUCCUAUUCAAGAUAAUAUUGGAAGUUCUGGCCAGGGCAAUCAGGCAACAGAAAGAAAUAAAGUGUAUUCAAAUAGGAAGAAGGGAACUCAAAUUGUCUCUGUUUGCAGAUGACAUGAUUGUAUAUUUAGAAAAUCCCAUCAUCUCAGCCCAAAAUCUCCUUAAGGUGAUCAGCAACUUCAGCAAAGUCUCGGGAUACAAAAUCAAUGUGCAGAAAUCACAAGCAUUCAUAUACAGCAAUAAUAGACAAACAGAGAGCCAAAUCAUGAGUGUACUCCCAUUCAUAAUUGGUAUAAAGAGAUUAAAGUACCUAGGAAUACAACUUACAAGGGAUGUGAAGGACCUCUUCAAAGAGAACUACAAACCACUGCUCAAGGAAAUAAGAGAGGACACAAACAAAUGGAAAAACAUUCCAUGCUCAUGGGUAGGAAGAAUCAAUAUCAUGAAAAGGGCCAUGCUACCCAAAGUAAUUUAUAGAUUCGAAGCUGUCUCCAUCAAGCUACCGUUGACUUUCUUCACAGAAUUAGAAAAAACUACUUUAAAUUUCAUAUGGCACCAAAAAAGAGCCUGUAUAGCCAAGACAAUCCUAAGCAAAAAGAACAAAGCUAGAGGCAUCAUGUUACCUGACUUCAAACUAUGCUACAAGGCUACAGUAACAAAAACAGCCUGGUACUGAUACCAAAACAGAUAUAUAGACAAAUGGAACAGAACAGACGCCUCAGAAAUAACACCACACAUCUACAACCAUCUGAUCUUUGUCAAACCUGAUAAAAACAAGCAAUGGGGAAAGGAUUCCCUACUUGAUAAAUUGUGUUGGGAAAACUGGCUAGCCAUAUGCAGAAAACUGAAACUAGACCCCUUCCUUACACCUUACAUAAAAAUGAACUCAAGAUGGGUUAAAGAUGUAAAUGUAAGACCUAAAACCAUAAAAACUCUAGAAGAAAACCUAGGCAGUAUCAUUCAGGACAUAGGCAGGGGCAAAGACUUCAUGACUAAAACACCAAAAGCAAUGGCAACAAAAGCCAACAUUGACAAAUGGGAUCUAAUUAAACUAAAGAGCUUCUGCACAGCAAAAACAAACAAACAAACAAAACCUAUCAUCAGAGUGAACAGGCAACCUACAGAAUGGGAGAAAAUUUUUGCAAUCUAUCCAUCUGACAAAGGGCUAAUAUCCAGAAUUUACAAAGCACUUAAACUAAUUUACUAGAAAAAAACAACCCCAUCAAAAUGUGGGUGAAGGAUAUGAACAGACAUUUCUCAAAAGAAGACAUUUAUGCAGUCAACAAACAUAUGAAAAAAAGCUCAUCAUUGGACAUUAGAGAAAUGCAAAUCAAAACCACAAUGAGAUACCACCUCAUGCCAGUUAGAAUGGCAAUCAUUAAAUGUCAGGAAACAACCGACACUGGAGAGGAUGUAGAGAAAUUGGAAUGCUUUUACACUGUUGGUGGGAGUGUAAAUUAGUUCAACCAUUAUGGAAGACAGUGUAGCAAUUUCUCAAGGAUCUAGUUCCAGAAAUACCAUUUGACCCAGCCAUCCCAUUACUGCGUAUAUACCCAAAGGAUUAUAAAUUAUUCUACUAUAAGGACACAUGCACAUGUAUUUUAUUGCAGUACUGUUUACAAUUGCAAAGACUUGGAACCAACCCAAAUGCCCAUCAAUGAUAGACUGGAUAAAGAAAAUGUGGCACAUACACACUAUGGAAUACUAUGCAGCCAUAAAAAGGAUGAGUUCAUGUCCUUUGCAGGGACAUGGAUGAAGCUGGAAACCAUCAUUCUCAGCAACCUAAUACAGGAACAGAAAACCAAACACCACAUGUUCUCACUCAUAGGUGGGAGUUGAACAAUGAGAACACAUGGAGACAGAGAGGGGAACAUUACACACUGGAGCCUGUUGGGGUGGGGAGCCAGGGGAGGAAUAGCAUUAGGAGAAAUACCUAAUAUAGAUGAUGGGUUGAUGGGUGCAACAAACCACCAUGGCACGUGUAUACCUAUAUAACAAACCUGCAAGUUCUGCACAUGUAUCCCAGAACUUAAAUUAUAAUUUAAAAAUUAAAAAAAGAAAGAUAAUUAUAAGUAGGCAUUGGUCAGGCUGCACUCUGGCCCACUUCUUUGGGGCUGCUUGCUAGCUGAAAGUCACACACUAGACCAUUUGCAUCCCCAUUGUUUCUACAGAUGGGACUUCUGAUGUUAGAAUCAUAAGACUUUUGUUUAAGAAUUGCUUAAGAUGUUCUUCAGAUCCUGAAUUCCAGCAGGCAUGGCUGACACCAACCAGUUUUUUAAGACUCCCACAACAAGGAACCAGAUCUGCUUGAGAAAACAGUUUCUUAUCUCCCUGUCCCAUGGCUUUACCCUGUACCCUUCAACCAUUCAAUGAUUCCCCAGACCUCAGCCCACUCCAAAUCCCUAAAAACCUCUGGCCCCAAACUCAUCUUGAAGAUGGAUUUGAGUUUUUCUUCCAUCUCCUCAUUUGGUUGCCUUAUGAUUAAACCUCUUUCUCUGGCAAUUAACCUGGUACAGUUACCAACCUGUGGAGUCUGAUGCUAUCUCCAGGUAAUGAGUGUCAGAACUGAAUUAAAUUAAGGGAUAGUGUGAUCCCAGCUCACUGCAACCUCUGCCUCCUGUGUUCAAGUGAUUCUCCUGCCUCAACCUCCCAAAUAGCUGGGACUACAGGCAGGUGCCACCACGCCUGGGUUAUUUUGUAUUUUUAGUAGAGAUGAGGUUUCACCAUAUUACCCAGGCUGGUCUCGAACUCCUGACCUCAGAUGAUCCACCCAACCUCGGCUGCACAAAGUGCAGGGAUUAUAGGUGUGAGCCACUGUGCCUGGCUGGAGACACUUUUUUCUUUUCUUUUUAAAUUUAUUAUACUUUAAGAUCUGGGAUACAUGUGCAGUUUGUUACAUAUGUACACAUGUGCCAUGGUGGUUUGCUGCAUCUAUCACCUCAAUCCUAACUCUUCUGUUUCAGUGAGGUUUCAUCUUGUUUAGGUUUGAUGCCUAGGAUCUGGUUGACUUUUUGGGCAUUUGUAUCAAUGACAGUUUCGUUUUUCUGAGGCUUCCAAAUUCUGUCGUGUUUUGUUGUUGUUGUUGUUUUUUUUCCUGCUUUGUUCUUCUGGUGCUGCUGGGAUCCACACUCAGACUUUGCUGGUGCUGUCUGGGGGUGGAAACACACUGUGGAACCUCAACAGAGAACAGGGAGACCCAGAGCUCAGCUGAUGUCAACCCAGCUGGUGGAUCAGAUGGGCUGCAGGGACUCAGGUUGUGGAGGGAGCUCCUAACUCAGGCUCUGCUGGGCUCUCCCUUUCCUUUGGACCGAGAGAGCAGGCUUCUCUUGGAUUAUUUUGUCUAUUCCUAUUGCUGGUUCCAGGUUGCAGGCCCCUGGGGCACCCAGUCUGAAAGUACAUGGGAGAUAAAAAGGAAAUCUAGGGGACUCACCAGACCUCUCAAGUCUUGAAGCUCCUAGCCAGUCUGCCCUCCUUCUCGUGACUUUCGAAGUCCUUGUAUCAUGGUCCAUUGACUAAUUAGCAGGGGUUUAGUUGUUUAGAGGGGAGCAACAGGGAAAAAUGAUUCUAUGUCACCUUCUUCUGGAAUGGAAAGCCCAUUUGGAUGACUGAUUAUUUAAAAAAAUAAACCAGAAGAACAAGUAUUCACCAAUGUAUUUUGUUUGGUAAGCAAAAUGUAGAGCCCAAUAGAGGAAAGCAGUAAGAAAAUUUCUGGUUGGUGUUAUAGCUUGAAUUGCAUCCUCCAUAUAAGAUGUGUUGAAGUCCUAAAUUGAGAAGGUGGUGUUAUUUGUAAAUAGGGUCAUUGGAGAUGUAAUUAAGUUAUGAUGAGUUCACAGUGAAGUAGGAUAGGUGGGCCCUAAUUCAAUGUGAUCAGUGUUCUUGUAAAAAGAGGACAUUUGGACACAGACAGAGAGGGAAGAUGGCCAUGUCGCAAGAUUGCUGGUAGAAAUGAAAACUGGACACCCCAAAAUGAAAGUCUCAGAAACAGCCUCUUCUUCAGCAUGGGCUGUAGAAACCAGAGUCCCUUUUCCUCCAACCAGCCAUAAAACCUAAAAAUAGUCUAACUUUCCAUCUCCCCCUCUGGCUUUUGGUAUAAAAACUGGCCAUAAGGACAUUUUUGACUUAUCUCAUCUGAUAAGAGCUUACAAGGUCCCCAUUCCAGAGAUAGCCCUGCCCCACACCCAGAGGAAGGUGAUAUGGCUUGGCUGUGUAAAUUACCCCCCACCCAAAUCUUAUCUCGAAUUGUACUUUCCAUAUUCCCCAUAUAUCAUGGGAGAGACCUGGUGGGAGGUAAUUUAAUAAUGGGGGCAGUGACCUCCAUGCUGUUCUGGUGAUAGUGAGUGAGUUCUCAUGAGAUCUGAUAUUUUAUAAGAGGCUUUCCCUUCUUUCACUUUGCACUUCUCUUUGCUUUGCCAUGUGAAGAAGGACAAGUUUGCUUCCUCUUUCACCAUGAUUAUUAGUUUCCUGAGGUCUCCCCAGCCCUGUUGAACUGUGAGUCAAUUAAGCCUCUUUCCUUUAUAAAUUACCCAGCCUUGGGUAUGUCUUUAAUACUGUGAGAGCAGACUAAUACAGAAGGAAUGUUCUGCAGAGAGUUCAAGAGGAAUCUAAACAGCAGGCCUUGCUGAGUUUCCCCACUCAGCCUAUUAACAUUACAUCUUAUCCUCUUUGCCCACUUACGUUUCUACGUAGCUGCCUACAGUUUGUUAAAUGGGCAGUGUCCCCUAUAUCUUUGGGUCUUCAUUUUGAAGGCUCCUGGGUGAUACAAUACUAUGACCAAAUAAGUUUGGAUGCCUUUUCUCCUAAUGAAUCUCCCUUUUGAUUUCCAUUGAACCUUCAGAGCACAAAGGGGACGUUCUCCCUAGGCCCCUGCAAGCCAAGGAACUCCAAGGAUUGCUGAUUCUGUGGAGCAAUUCUCCACACUUCUGGUAACAAUCAGCAAUCCUUGGAGUUUGUGGACCAAUCCUUGGUUCUGCGGACCAGCACGUUGGUUUCAGACUUCUAGCCUCCAGAGCUGUAAGGGAAUAACUCUGUGUGGUUUUAAGCAACAACAUUGUUUGUGGUACUUUGUUACAGUAGCAUUAGGAAAUAGGUGGAAUUGGGAACAGUGAUCUGGUAUACUUAAACAUCAGAGAGACAAACAUGGAGACAGCACGCAUCACACACUCAAAGCCGGCGAUCCAUUUUCUAGGCACAUAUUCCCAUAAUGGGACAGAGAACUGACGGCAAAGUCUAGCAGGUGUGGAGGCUGCACUGGAAGCACCUGGAUGCCUGGUUUCAACUGCCUGCCCUUGAGUGGGCCACAUGGCAACAAGCAUCUCCUGGUAAUAGUGAUGGACUGAGGCCAGACACCCCCUUCUUGUUGGCUGGGCAAACUGUCAUCCCCUUAGAUUACAAAUGGUUAGGAUGAAGUAUUUACCCAAAUGACGUUGCUCAGUGUGGGGGUGUGGCAUAAGGUGGCUAACUUAUUUAUUAAAGCUGAUUUACAUGGACUAAUUUUGGCCUCCAAAAAGAAAUAGUGAGGUCCUAGCUGUAGUACCUGCAAAUGCGACCUUAUUUGGAAACAGGAUCAUGGAAGAUGGAAUUAAGUUAUGAAAGUUACUGGAAACUAACUUCAAAUGAAGAAGUAGGCCAGGAAAAAUAUGUCCCCUAACCACCAUCAAAAACAGGAGCAUGCACAUUUAUUUCACCCUUUACAUUUUUUUCCACAAGUAUUUUUGCUUUGAAUCCUCACUUUAGAAACUGAUUCUCCUGAAAGCUAGGUGACCUUUCAGGGGCACUCUCUGCUAACAGGUGAAAAUCUGUCACAAUUUAUUACUUUAUCAGUUAAAAGGUUCACUCAAAUAAAUCGCAGAGAUUCUUAAAGUUGCUACAGAAUUAGGGCACUUUUUGGGUUCUGACUUGGAGGGAGGAAUUCCAGACCACAGACACCCCUUUGAUGUGAGCAUUUACACAGAACUUGCUUGGAUCUGACUCUGAAAAAUUUAGGACCACCCGGGGCAGAUGGAAGAAAGCAUUUAAUGAGCACCUACUGUGUUCUAGGACCCAUGGUAGGUGCGUUUCAGGAAAUCACAUCUGUUACACUGUGGUCCUGUGGCAGAGACAUAUACAAAAGGGGUCAUUUCAAAUAGAAAACAUCUAGUUAGGCUUCGGUGACCCAAACAAAAAUUUUAAAAGAACAUGAUAGCUCCUUCUCUUAGAAGCCCAAAAUCUACUUUGUUGGAGUCUUAUGAAACGAGCCUCCCCCACCUUUUUUUGGGAAAUGCAGUGACCCCAGGAGACUCCCAAGCAGGAAUAAAUCCUGGCUCAGUAGAUCUUUCAUCCCCUGUAAUGAAUUCCUCAGGCCCUGCCAGUCAGAGAGCAGCAUCGGCUCCCUGAGAGGCUUGUUCUCAGGACAGAGUUUCAUUGUAUUCAACACUGCGAUCUUCCUGCCAAAAAUUAAUCCCACAAGCUGCGUCCUGAACAACACCCACCCGCCAUGCAGUCUGAGCCUCUGUCAGACUUUUGAAUUUGAAGAAGUUGGAAAGAUUUGGAAGCGGGGGUUACUUUCUUAAGCAGGACAGAUGCAUUGAGACCACCUUGCCAAUCAUAAAUGAAGACCGACUUUAGUUCCUCAGUCAUCAUUAAGCAAAACCACAAUCGUUUCUUAACAAGCCCCUGACUGUCAUGUUCUCUGUCCAGGUGAACGGAUUACCUUCAAGGAACUGGACUGGUCAUGUGUGUGUCCUGCAUGUCAUCCUUUUCUGGCUCUCAUUGUCGCUGUGUGACUAGUUGGUUCUCAUUGUCAUUGUGUGAUUCAAGUAUCGUGACAAGCCCUGGGGAGAGCGAGGUCAUCUUCUGAGAUAAAACACCCAGCAGGUACCUCUAGUGGUGGUGGUGAUUUUUUGUUUGUUUCUUUUUUUCCCACUUAACCAGUGUGCGAGAUGGUGGUGGUUUUUAACUGACAAAUAA